UGCGGUUAAAAAGCUCGUAGUUGGAUCUCGGCGGGCAGGGGGUGGUUCGCUCUUCAGCGCUACUGCCCCGCUUUGCCCGUGUGAUUGGCGGAGGUUUCGGGGUGCUCUUCGUUGAGUGACUCGGAGCGCCGUCAGGUUUACUUUGAAAAAAUUAGAGUGCUCAAAGCAGGCUUUUCACGCUUGAAUAUUCGUGCAUGGAAUAAUGGAAUAGGAACUCGUUUCUAUUUUGUUGGUUUUCGGAAAUCGAGUUAAUGAUUAACAGGGACAAUUGGGGGCAUUAGUAUUCAGACGACAGAGGUGAAAUUCUUGGACCGUCUGAAGACUGACUACUGCGAAAGCAUCUGCCAAGAGUGUUUUCAUUAAUCAAGAACGAAAGUUAGAGGUUCGAAGGCGAUCAGAUACCGCCCUAGUUCUAACCAUAAACGAUGCCAGCUAGCGAUCUGCCGAGUUUUUUUUGUAGGCUCCGCAGGAAGCUUUCGGGAAACCAAAGCUUUUGGGCUCCGGGGGAAGUAUGGUUGCAAAGCUGAAACUUAAAGGAAUUGACGGAAGGGCACCACCAGGAGUGGAGCCUGCGGCUUAAUUUGACUCAACACGGGAAAUCUCACCAGGCCCGGACACUGGAAGGAUUGACAGAUUGAGAGCUCUUUCUCGAU
rnacentral:rRNA from 1 species